rnacentral:rRNA from 1 species
UACGGAGGGGGCUAGCGUUGUUCGGAAUUACUGGGCGUAAAGCGCACGUAGGCGGCUUUGUAAGUUAGAGGUGAAAGCCCGGGGCUCAACUCCGGAAUUGCCUUUAAGACUGCAUCGCUAGAAUUGUGGAGAGGUAAGUGGAAUUCCGAGUGUAGAGGUGAAAUUCGUAGAUAUUCGGAAGAACACCAGUGGCGAAGGCGACUUACUGGACACAAUAAUUGACGCUGAGGUGCGAAAGCGUGGGGAGCAAACAGG